GAUGAACGCUGGCGGCGUGCUUAACACAUGCAAGUCGAACGGUGAAGGCGGAGCUUGCUCUGCUGGAUCAGUGGCGAACGGGUGAGUAACACGUGAGCAAUCUGCCCCUGACUCUGGGAUAAGCGCUGGAAACGGCGGCUAAUACUGGAUACGAGCUGCGAAGGCAUCUUCAGCAGCUGGAAAGAAUUUCGGUCAGGGAUGAGCUCGCGGCUUAUCAGCUUGUUGGUGAGGUAAUGGCUCACCAAGGCGUCGACGGGUAGCCGGCCUGAGAGGGUGACCGGCCACACUGGGACUGAGACACGGCCCAGACUCCUACGGGAGGAAGCAGUGGGGAAUAUUGCACAAUGGGCGGAAGCCUGAUGCAGCAACGCCGCGUGAGGGACGACGGCCUUCGGGUUGUAAACCUCUUUUGGCAGGGAAGAAGCGAAAGUGACGGUACCUGAAAAAAAAGCGCCGGCUAACUACGUG
rnacentral:rRNA from 1 species